GAUGUCUUGAUGUGAAAACAAAUCAUACAUAUAUCACUAGACAUAUUCGCUUUGACGAAUCUAUCUUUUCUUUUUAAUCUCCCUCUCCAUUAAAUUGUCCACCACCACCAUCUCCCUCUUCUCUGCCAGGGGGUGUUACAUCACUUCGACCUCUACAAGAGGCCAACCCUCCACCAUCCAUUCCUCCAUCUCCUUUGCCCCAGUUGUCCACCU
rnacentral:lncRNA from 1 species